UACGUAGGGUGCAAGCGUUAAUCGGAAUUACUGGGCGUAAAGCGUGCGCAGGCGGUUGUGUAGGACAGAUGUGAAAUCCCCGGGCUCAACCUGGGAACUGCAUUUGUGACUGCACAGCUGGAGUGCGGCAGAGGGGGAUGGAAUUCCGCGUGUAGCAGUGAAAUGCGUAGAUAUGCGGAGGAACACCGAUGGCGAAGGCAAUCCCCUGGGCCUGCACUGACGCUCAUGCACGAAAGCGUGGGGAGCAAACAGG
rnacentral:rRNA from 1 species